UCUGUCUCUCUCAUUCACUUUAUCUUUCAACCCGCUUCAUCGAAAACGUAGAGAGAAUGAUUCGGAGUUAACACGCUAUGAGGAAAAUAUUCUCAACUACACGUGCGAUAGAACGUUGAAUUUUACUGGCGUACGACGAGCGAGAAACCCACCCAUUCGGUAUCCGUCCUGUGGUGGAAUUAUUUAUAUUUACACCGAUUUUACAUCCGAGCCGGAAGCAUGCUCGGCAUGGAUUGAGCAUGCGGAUACGCGAACAGUGAAAUCGACAGAAUUUCAGGACGCUGUGGUCCUCUCGCGUGCACGAGCUUCUACAUACAUACUAUGUUGCUUAUGCACCAAUGGAUACGAAUUUUACAUUCUUACUUUCCUUUGGGAUCAACGUGGAUACGAUGAAAUCCUCAGGGACAAUCUGAUCUCUCUGACGUAGAAAAUUAACAAAAAUUACUAAAGUUUGUGAUUUUUUAGGAUCGAAUAAAAAAUAUUUUCGUUUCCUGUAAAACUAUAGUACGAAGAGGUUACGCAAAAAGGCGACAUCUCGUUAAGUCGAAAACGAAUAUCGUUAUAUCUCGAUGAUUUCAUUAAAUUAGUUAACGACUAGCAAAGAUUCAUUCGUAUAUGCAUGUAUUUGGAUAUAGACGAUCCGAUUUAAAAAUCAACCAGUAAUGCACAGGAAUCGUGAAAGUAUUAAUCACGUAGAGAGAUAUACUCUAUCGUUGAAACGGCAACCGAAAUGUGGUAAAUGCCUUCUGAACUGAAAACCGAUGCUUUCGUUCCAAUUAGCCAGAAUAAUGACUAAUGUCGAUGCGUAAAAGACAACACAAUUUUAUGUACGUAUAUAUGUACGUAACUUAUGUACACACAACUACUAUCUCUCUCUCUUUACCUCGUACGUUUCAUAUUUCGUUCUAUUCGAUGAACGAUGAAAAGAACAAAGCGAUAUCAAGAGAGCGUUUGAGAGGUUUGUUUUGAAAGAAAUGAAAUGAAAAAAUGGGUAAACAAUUAGGCAAGAUAAGAGACGUAUCGAAUACUUGUGUUUUGAUAGAGUUUCGUACAUCAAUGUCACGGAAAGUAAUACGUUACUGAUUACAAAGUUAAAGGAGAUCAUGCGAAGCACACAACUUUUCAACGGACACGUCGCUCAUAUUAAAUUUUCCUCGAACAUGAACGAACCACGUUACACGCUCGCAAAGUAUAUACAUUUUCAAUGACGGACAAGUUAUAACGAGUUAUAACUACUACUCGCGAACAGUUCCCAAGGCACGAUUACAUAGAAACGUUGAAUAGCUUUAGCUUCGGGAGCAAGGUUAAAUGAGUAGGAUAUUUAUUCCCACCUUUCAACAAAUUACCAAGCCUGAAUAGGCAUCUAAAGUCAUUAACAGCAAUUGAAUAAAUUCAAUCGUUAAUUACAAUUUCUAACCGAGGAAUUCAAUCAAAUCGAUUAAUAAUUAUAAUUAAUUGUUGCCUCAUCAAAUCUAUCAAAUCUUUGUAAAAAAGAAGCAUUACCGAGGGAGAUAAUUAAUCGAAGCGAUGUUAUUUAAGAUCGCAUAAAUUAAUUCGUACGAUAGAGAAUAUACUAUACUUUGUUCUUACAGCACACAAUCUGAAAAUACAACAAGCGUGUACCACUGACCUUCUUUCUCAACAGUGAUCGGAAUCGAAGCUACAAAGGAUAUAUUUCAUUGUUCGUUCGCAAAGCCGAUUCCGGCAAAUCAUACAUAUAUAGCUUGUAUAUCGCGUAUUCAUAACAGAACUGCGUAUGUGCGUAAAUAAACGAGAGCAAGUGUAACCGAUAUGGAUACAGUUCGAGAUGGAAACAAAACAAGUUAAAAAAAAAAAAAAAAAAAAAGGAAAAAUAAGUAAAUAAAAUUAGAACGCGUUGAAUUUCUAUCGAAACUUCCAUUUUCCGCUUAUCUUUGUCUGCAAUCAGAUCGGACUGAAAUUUUUAUUAAUUAGAGAACUUGAUAACAGUAUAUAGAUCAAUUAUACUUUGAUUCGAUAACUCACGUUAAUUUAGUGACGUAUAUGCGUACGAUAAUACGACUAAUGUAUUUUUUUUUGUAAUAUUGAAAAGUAUUAUGAUGCAUCGAAAUAUAAAAGUAAAACAUUCAAGAAAGCGUAUUAAUAAAUGGAAUGAUAUAUACAUUGAUCUUACAAAAAAAAGGAACGAAAAUAGGAUUAACUUUAAUAAGCAUGAUUUCGCGCACAUCGUAAAAUAAUUCGUUGUGAAAUACUUGUUUAUAAUUAACGCAGUGGAUUAGCGAAUAUAGUAAAUAAUAGGUAGUUAGAUAAAUUAUGAUUUGUAAUGAUACUAAGAGUAUCACAUUGAAAUUAUUCGCUGACUCUUUUUGGAUAAUUCGUAAAACUAUACUUAUACAAUGUCUAAUUUAUCUCAAUACGUUAAAAUUUGUCGAACCUAACGAGAUGUGUCAUGUUAAAUAGCUUUAAAUGACAUAUUCGAGAUAAAUGUGUAGAUAAAUAAAAUGAUGCUGCAUAAGCAAGCAAGCUAAUUAUGCGCGUACGUAUGUACGUUCGUUCGUUCGUUCAUUCGUUGCUUCGAAUA